GAUGAACGCUGGCGGCGUGCCUAAUACAUGCAAGUCGAGCGAACGGACGAGAAGCUUGCUUCUCUGAUGUUAGCGGCGGACGGGUGAGUAACACGUGGAUAACCUACCUAUAAGACUGGGAUAACUUCGGGAAACCGGAGCUAAUACCGGAUAAUAUUUUGAACCGCAUGGUUCAAAAGUGAAAGACGGUCUUGCUGUCACUUAUAGAUGGAUCCGCGCUGCAUUAGCUAGUUGGUAAGGUAACGGCUUACCAAGGCAACGAUGCAUAGCCGACCUGAGAGGGUGAUCGGCCACACUGGAACUGAGACACGGUCCAGACUCCUACGGGAGGCAGCAGUAGGGAAUCUUCCGCAAUGGGCGAAAGCCUGACGGAGCAACGCCGCGUGAGUGAUGAAGGUCUUCGGAUCGUAAAACUCUGUUAUUAGGGAAGAACAUAUAUGUAAGUAACUGUGCACAUCUUGACGGUACCUAAUCAGAAAGCCACGGCUAACUACGUGCCAGCAGCCGCGGUAAUACGUAGGUGGCAAGCGUUAUCCGGAAUUAUUGGGCGUAAAGCGCGCGUAGGCGGUUUUUUAAGUCUGAUGUGAAAGCCCACGGCUCAACCGUGGAGGGUCAUUGGAAACUGGAAAACUUGAGUGCAGAAGAGGAAAGUGGAAUUCCAUGUGUAGCGGUGAAAUGCGCAGAGAUAUGGAGGAACACCAGUGGCGAAGGCGACUUUCUGGUCUGUAACUGACGCUGAUGUGCGAAAGCGUGGGGAUCAAACAGGAUUAGAUACCCUGGUAGUCCACGCCGUAAACGAUGAGUGCUAAGUGUUAGGGGGUUUCCGCCCCUUAGUGCUGCAGCUAACGCAUUAAGCACUCCGCCUGGGGAGUACGACCGCAAGGUUGAAACUCAAAGGAAUUGACGGGGACCCGCACAAGCGGUGGAGCAUGUGGUUUAAUUCGAAGCAACGCGAAGAACCUUACCAAAUCUUGACAUCCUUUGACAACUCUAGAGAUAGAGCUUUCCCCUUCGGGGGACAAAGUGACAGGUGGUGCAUGGUUGUCGUCAGCUCGUGUCGUGAGAUGUUGGGUUAAGUCCCGCAACGAGCGCAACCCUUAAGCUUAGUUGCCAUCAUUAAGUUGGGCACUCUAAGUUGACUGCCGGUGACAAACCGGAGGAAGGUGGGGAUGACGUCAAAUCAUCAUGCCCCUUAUGAUUUGGGCUACACACGUGCUACAAUGGACAAUACAAAGGGCAGCGAAACCGCGAGGUCAAGCAAAUCCCAUAAAGUUGUCCUCAGUUCGGAUUGUAGUCUGCAACUCGACUACAUGAAGCUGGAAUCGCUAGUAAUCGUAGAUCAGCAUGCUACGGUGAAUACGUUCCCGGGUCU
rnacentral:rRNA from 1 species